UACGUAGGCAGCGAGCGUUGUUCGGAGUUACUGGGCGUAAAGGGUGCGUAGGCGGUUGUUUAAGUUUGGUGUGAAAUCUCCCGGCUCAACUGGGAGGGUGCGCCGAAUACUGAAUGACUAGAGUGCGGGAGAGGAUAGUGGAAUUCCUGGUGAUAGCGGUGAAUGCGCAGAUAUCAGGAGGAACACCGAGUGGCGAAAGGC
rnacentral:rRNA from 1 species